GCUGAAACUCGCCUAUAUGAAGUCGGAAUUGCUAGUAAUCGCGGAUCAGCAUGCCGCGGUGAAUACGUUCCCGGGCCUUGUACACACCGCCCGUCACACCAUGAGAGUCGAUAACACCCGAAGCCUGUAGUCUAACCUUAGGGGGACGCAGUCGAAGGUGGGAUUGAUAAUUAGGGUGAAGUCGUAACAAGGUACC
rnacentral:rRNA from 1 species